ACAGGUCAACGCGUUCUUUUACAAUGUAUCCUACAUAUUUCCUCAACGAAUACUCAACACGUUUACUACACGACUCACUACUGUAGCAUCCCAUCCUCAUACUGUGCCCAACGUCGUAAAUUUCAAGGUCUUAAGAGAUGGUCCUCGUAUACGUUUUAAGAUCAUGUAUAUCGACCCGCGCAAGACCUGCAUCAUCCUAAUAAAAGAUCCACCUUGUCUGGAACGACAAUGCCUCCUGCUGCAAACAAGUUCAACUGUUGACAGCGACCCUCCAUCGGACUGUUCAAACAUAUACAGGCAACAUUGUAGUCAAUCUUCUACACGUGUUUAUUAUUAUAGUUGCAAAUCUGUCCUCGUGAGCAAUAUUGGUAAAGAAGGCACGCGUAUGAU
rnacentral:lncRNA from 1 species